rnacentral:rRNA from 1 species
AAAAUGGGCCUAUAGCUCAGCUGGUUAGAGCGCACGCCUGAUAAGCGUGAGGUCGGUGGUUCGAGUCCACUUAGGCCCACCAUUAUUUGUACAUUGAAAACUAGAUAAGUAAGUAAAAUAUAGAUUUUACCAAGCAAAACCGAGUGAAUAAAGAGUUUUAAAUAAGCUUGAAUUCAUAAGAAAUAAUCGCUAGUGUUCGAAAGAACACUCACAAGAUUAAUAACGCGUUUCCUGUAGGAUGGAAACAUAGAUUAAGUUAUUAAGGGCGCACGGUGGAUGCCUUGGCACUAGAAGCCGAUGAAGGACGUUACUAACGACGAUAUGCUUUGGGGAGCUGUAAGUAAGCUUUGAUCCAGAGAUUUCCGAAUGGGGAAACCCAGCAUGAGUUAUGUCAUGUUAUCGAUAUGUGAAUACAUAGCAUAUCAGAAGGCACACCCGGAGAACUGAAACAUCUUAGUACCCGGAGGAAGAGAAAGAAAAUUCGAUUCCCUUAGUAGCGGCGAGCGAAACGGGAAGAGCCCAAACCAACAAGCUUGCUUGUUGGGGUUGUAGGACACUCUAUACGGAGUUACAAAGGACGACAUUAGACGAAUCAUCUGGAAAGAUGAAUCAAAGAAGGUAAUAAUCCUGUAGUCGAAAAUGUUGUCUCUCUUGAGUGGAUCCUGAGUACGACGGAGCACGUGAAAUUCCGUCGGAAUCUGGGAGGACCAUCUCCUAAGGCUAAAUACUCUCUAGUGACCGAUAGUGAACCAGUACCGUGAGGGAAAGGUGAAAAGCACCCCGGAAGGGGAGUGAAAUAGAACCUGAAACCGUGUGCUUACAAGUAGUCAGAGCCCGUUAAUGGGUGAUGGCGUGCCUUUUGUAGAAUGAACCGGCGAGUUACGAUUUGAUGCAAGGUUAAGCAGUAAAUGUGGAGCCGUAGCGAAAGCGAGUCUGAAUAGGGCGUUUAGUAUUUGGUCGUAGACCCGAAACCAGGUGAUCUACCCUUGGUCAGGUUGAAGUUCAGGUAACACUGAAUGGAGGACCGAACCGACUUACGUUGAAAAGUGAGCGGAUGAACUGAGGGUAGCGGAGAAAUUCCAAUCGAACCUGGAGAUAGCUGGUUCUCUCCGAAAUAGCUUUAGGGCUAGCCUCAAGUGAUGAUUAUUGGAGGUAGAGCACUGUUUGGACGAGGGGCCCCUNAACUGACGCUGAUGUGCGAAAGCGUGGGGAUCAAACAGGAUUAGAUACCCUGGUAGUCCACGCCGUAAACGAUGAGUGCUAAGUGUUAGGGGGUUUCCGCCCCUUAGUGCUGCAGCUAACGCAUUAAGCACUCCGCCUGGGGAGUACGACCGCAAGGUUGAAACUCAAAGGAAUUGACGGGGACCCGCACAAGCGGUGGAGCAUGUGGUUUAAUUCGAAGCAACGCGAAGAACCUUACCAAAUCUUGACAUCCUUUGACAACUCUAGAGAUAGAGCCUUCCCCUUCGGGGGACAAAGUGACAGGUGGUGCAUGGUUGUCGUCAGCUCGUGUCGUGAGAUGUUGGGUUAAGUCCCGCAACGAGCGCAACCCUUAAGCUUAGUUGCCAUCAUUAAGUUGGGCACUCUAAGUUGACUGCCGGUGACAAACCGGAGGAAGGUGGGGAUGACGUCAAAUCAUCAUGCCCCUUAUGAUUUGGGCUACACACGUGCUACAAUGGACAAUACAAAGGGCAGCGAAACCGCGAGGUCAAGCAAAUCCCAUAAAGUUGUUCUCAGUUCGGAUUGUAGUCUGCAACUCGACUACAUGAAGCUGGAAUCGCUAGUAAUCGUAGAUCAGCAUGCUACGGUGAAUACGUUCCCGGGUCUUGUACACACCGCCCGUCACACCACGAGAGUUUGUAACACCCGAAGCCGGUGGAGUAACCUUUUAGGAGCUAGCCGUCGAAGGUGGGACAAAUGAUUGGGGUGAAGUCGUAACAAGGUAGCCGUAUCGGAAGGUGCGGCUGGAUCACCU